AGUCACUGACAUUAGAUACCCGCGUAGUCCCAGCCGUAAGCAAUGUGCGUUAGGUGUGUCGGUAACCACGUGUUACUGAUGCGCCGAAGAGAAAUCGUGAAACGCACCACCUGGGAAGUACGGUCGCAAGGCUGAAACUUAAAGGAAUUGGCGGGGGAGCACCACAACAGGUGGAGCCUGCGGUUUAAUUGGAUUCAACGCCGGACAUCUCACCGGAUAAGACAGCUGAAUGAUUGUCAAUCUGAAGGUUUUACAUGACUAGCUG
rnacentral:rRNA from 1 species